AACUUACAGUAUCUACCUAUUCUCACGACGUACAGAUACCACAGCUACACCGGACACGGAGGCGAACAAUAAAAUUGCAUAAUGUCUCGGGGUUCUAACAGCGAUUGUAAGGUGUAUGUAGGAGACCUUGGUGAUGGUGCAGCUAAACAGGAACUAGAGGAAGUAUUCCAGAGGUAUGGACCUCUGAGAAAUGUAUGGGUAGCAAGAAAUCCACCUGGAUUUGCAUUUGUUGAGUUUGAAGAUCCAAGAGAUGUAGAUGAUGCUUGUAAAGCCUUGGAUGGCGCGAGGAUUAAUGGUAGACGAGUGAGAGUUGAACCAUCAAAUGGUAAAACUCGCUGGGGUCGUGGUGGUCCACCUAGACGUGGUGGUGGCCGUGGUGGUGGCGGUUGGGGUGGUGGUGGUGGUGGAGGUGGUCGUCGAGGAUUCAGAGGCAGGUCAAGGGUCAGAUAUGCUGCUGAUUGUUUACAUGCUUCAUAAAAUCCCCAAUUAUCUUCGGUGCAAAGUCUCUCCGGUAUAGCCAACACAUGAAGAGCUGUAUACAUCCCUCGCCUCGUCUCGUCUCGACCUCUUCACCAAAAGUCAACUUACUUUUAGGUCUCUCAUAGACUACACUACACAAUUAGUCGUCUAGUGGAUGGAAAAGGCAAAUGCUCUUGUUUGCCAUAAUUUAUCAUGCUUAUCGUGGUUGAUCGACAAAUCUUCGGCGCCCCUACAUAAUCAACAACUCUUCAAGAAAAUAAUCUCGCCUCUUCACAUAAAAGUUAAAUGUGGCUAGCUCCGUCGUUGGACUUCAAAUUGCUUAAGAUUACAACGAUUUGUCAAUUAUGAACUGUAUAGUUCUAUUUGUACCAUCCAGAAAAUUUAAAUAAUGGGCACCUAUUCAAAAAUGUCGCCUUCAUCUUGUACCAAUUUAAGUCGUCAAGAUUGCAUUCAGCCUCUCUCAUUUCUACGAUGUUUGUUGCACCCUCCUGUAAAUCCCUUCUUCGAUGUUAUCUCGACUUGUUAUCAUUAUGUAAAUAUAACACACUGCAAAGGUAAACAUAUUGUAACAAAUGUAUGACAGGAUUGGUUUUAAUUUGACACUGCUUUCUUUUCAAUUUAAAGUAGAUAAAAAGAAGGAUAAAAUACACAAUAUGAUUAUUUUCAUAAAAAGAUUUAGCUCUUAGCCUGUUGAAUGACUAAAAUGGAUUUGUCAAAUUUUUAUUUUUGAAACUCCUGAUCCGUGUCAAUUUUUGGAAUUUCAAGAUGAAAAAUUAAAGUUAAUUCUCCAAAGUCUGGCCAACUGUAUGGAUGUGGCGGUUGGCCUGGCUCUUUAUGAGUGAUAAGACUAUUAAGGCAAAUCAGGAUUCAAUUUCAGCAGGGUAAUAGUUAAAGUAGUCUGCAAUAUUUCAUUUUUAAAGUUGCAUGCCUCCUGAUUACUAAAAAUGAGUAUUUCAAAAUACAGAAUUCAAGAAAAAUACAUGUGUAUCAAUAGUGUAUAUUUUGUAUAAAUAGUCACCACCAGGUUCUUUUUACAUAUUUUAAAUGUCACAGACUCCACCCUCUACAAAUUUCCACAGCAUUAUGUUAAGAAUAAGAGAUAUUCCUGCAUAUUUUAAGUGUAAUUGGUAAUUUCUAUUUCUUAUUAUUUAGAUCACUUUAUAUGUGCACAAUUUAAAACAAUAUGUUAAGUUUUCUAAGAAUCCGGAUGCAUGCUGCUUUAAUAAUUGGAUUCCCUUAAAGUUUUUGAUUUCUGUUAUUCUUUUGUAAUAUCACUUUUGGUAUUGAGAAAGUACAGGUACAGUUUACUCAUAUGAUCAUUUCAGUCUAUCAGUAGAACAGUAACCUGACCUAGUAUGAUGUGAAGAAUAAGUAAAUGUUAACUGCAAAAUAUUGUUGUAAAAUGUAGCAUUAGAUUUCAUUAAAUUUACAAAUAAAACAUAACGACAUCACAGUGACGCCAUCACCUUAGUGCUGUAAUUGGUUAACUACUUAUGUAAUUUAAUGGGAGUAAACACAUUAUUGCACUAAGGUGACCACACAUAAUUAUCACAAGUUUAAACUGAAAUCUGACCCUGCUGAUUUUCAUUGAUUUGAAUUUGGAACGGUCCAUAUGAAGUUUCUGGGAUUUUAGUUAUUAAAACAAGAGAAAUUGAUGAGUCAUCAUUAAAAUGUAGGCUCAAACUAAACAUAGUAGCAGACUGAACAUCAUAAGUUACUUAUUGUUUAUCACUGUAAGAAUUACGUUUGGUUGACUUUGAAGCAAUAUUGCAAGUAUAUGUAGAUGCUAUCUUGAUUUUGAGGUCAAAGGUCAUGGACACUGACGCUGUAAAAAAAAUCUUAUCAAUAACUUGAGAAGAAAUCACCCAAAGGUUAUGAAACUUACAUUGCCCAGGGGCUGUAGGAUACCCCUAGUUGUUUAAAGAUCAUUAAGUAAAGGUCACAUGUGUAAUACUUUAAUCAAGAACAAGAGUUUCCUAAUCAUACAUUUUGUGAAACUGAUUAUAAAAAAAUAGUAAAAUUACAUGUAUACAUAUAAACUUAUUAAUAUAAACCAAUCUCAUCAAAAUCAUAUUCUAACUACCCUUCACCUUCACUUUGUUGCGAAGAGUAACAGAGCGAAAACGGUGAUCUGAUUUUAAUGAGAUUGUAAUAUAAACUUGACUUUAAUAAAAUAUUUAUAAGUAUGCCAUUGUGACACAAAAUGAAGUAGAGGCACAAAUGUCCUAUAGGCACAUUUCUAGUAAAACAAAAUAUUAGAAAGAAUUAGGAAUUUGAUUAAUUAUUCAUUUAUUGUAAGGCAGUCUUUCAAAAAGGUUUGACAGGACAUAGAAACAUUAUUUACAUCUCUACAUGUUCAUAUCAUCAUUUAAUAUUGUCAUCAUUUUGAUUUAUAUAGAGCGUCCGUUUCAUGAUAAAAAUUUUGCUUGCUAUGGUUACAGGUCAAGGUCACCCAGAAGAAGGUCACCAUCACCAAGGAGAUACAGGAGCAGGUCCAGAUCUCCAGUUCGUAAGCAUCAAUCAGCAUCAAAAUCCCCAGAAAGGAGAAGCACUGGUAGAAGAGAAUGGGACUAGAUAUUUCACAUUGGAUC